CUAAGCAGCUAAGCUGCCACUGAAGCUAAGCAGGGUUGAGCCUGGUUAGUACCUGGAUGGGAGAUCUCCUGGGAAAACUAGCUUGCUGCUGGAA
rnacentral:rRNA from 1 species